rnacentral:rRNA from 1 species
AGUGAACGCUGGCGGUAGGCCUAACACAUGCAAGUCGAGCGGCAGCACAGUAAGAGCUUGCUCUUACGGGUGGCGAGUGGCGGACGGGUGAGGAAUACAUCGGAAUCUACUUUUUCGUGGGGGAUAACGUAGGGAAACUUACGCUAAUACCGCAUACGACCUACGGGUGAAAGCAGGGGAUCUUCGGACCUUGCGCGAUUGAAUGAGCCGAUGUCGGAUUAGCUAGUUGGCGGGGUAAAGGCCCACCAAGGCGACGAUCCGUAGCUGGUCUGAGAGGAUGAUCAGCCACACUGGAACUGAGAAACGGUCCAGACUCCUACGGGAGGCAGCAGUGGGGAAUAUUGGACAAUGGGCGCAAGCCUGAUCCAGCCAUACCGCGUGGGUGAAGAAGGCCUUCGGGUUGUAAAGCCCUUUUGUUGGGAAAGAAAAGCAGCAGGUUAAUACCCCGCUGUUCUGACGGUACCCAAAGAAUAAGCACCGGCUAACUUCGUG